rnacentral:rRNA from 1 species
UACGUAGGGUGCGAGCGUUGUCCGGAAUUAUUGGGCGUAAAGAGCUCGUAGGCGGCUUGUCGCGUCGACCGUGAAAACCCGCAGCUCAACUGCGGGCUUGCGGUCGAUACGGGCAGGCUCGAGUUCGGUAGGGGAGACUGGAAUUCCUGGUGUAGCGGUGAAAUGCGCAGAUAUCAGGAGGAACACCGGUGGCGAAGGCGGGUCUCUGGGCCGAUACUGACGCUGAGGAGCGAAAGCGUGGGGAGCGAACAGG